AACCCGUAGAUCCGAACUUGUGCUGAUUCUGCACACAAGCUUGUGUCUAUAGGUAUG
rnacentral:pre_miRNA from 1 species